rnacentral:sRNA from 1 species
GAGCCCGAGCCGAGCCCAAGCCCAGCCCGCGCCCGCGCCGCCAUGCCCCUGGCCUUCUGCGGCAGCGAGAACCACUCGGCCGCCUACCGGGUGGACCAGGGCGUCCUCAACAACGGCUGCUUUGUGGACGCGCUCAACGUGGUGCCGCACGUCUUCCUACUCUUCAUCACCUUCCCCAUCCUCUUCAUUGGAUGGGGAAGUCAGAGCUCCAAGGUGCACAUCCACCACAGCACAUGGCUUCAUUUCCCUGGGCACAACCUGCGGUGGAUCCUGACCUUCAUGCUGCUCUUCGUCCUGGUGUGUGAGAUUGCGGAGGGCAUCCUGUCUGAUGGGGUGACCGAAUCCCACCAUCUGCACCUGUACAUGCCAGCCGGGAUGGCGUUCAUGGCUGCUGUCACCUCCGUGGUCUACUAUCACAACAUCGAGACUUCCAACUUCCCCAAGCUGCUAAUUGCCCUGCUGGUGUAUUGGACCCUGGCCUUCAUCACCAAGACCAUCAAGUUUGUCAAGUUCUUGGACCACGCCAUCGGCUUCUCGCAGCUACGCUUCUGCCUCACAGGGCUGCUGGUGAUCCUCUAUGGGAUGCUGCUCCUCGUGGAGGUCAAUGUCAUCAGGGUGAGGAGAUACAUCUUCUUCAAGACACCGAGGGAGGUGAAGCCUCCCGAGGACCUGCAAGACCUGGGGGUACGCUUCCUGCAGCCCUUCGUGAAUCUGCUGUCCAAAGGCACCUACUGGUGGAUGAACGCCUUCAUCAAGACUGCCCACAAGAAGCCCAUUGACUUGCGAGCCAUCGGGAAGCUGCCCAUCGCCAUGAGGGCCCUCACCAACUACCAACGGCUCUGCGAGGCCUUUGACGCCCAGCGGAAGGACAUUCAGGGCACUCAAGGUGCCCGGGCCAUCUGGCAGGCACUCAGCCAUGCCUUCGGGAGGCGCCUGGUCCUCAGCAGCACUUUCCGCAUCUUGGCCGACCUGCUGGGCUUCGCCGGGCCACUGUGCAUCUUUGGGAUCGUGGACCACCUUGGGAAGGAGAACGACGUCUUCCAGCCCAAGACACAAUUUCUCGGGGUUUACUUUGUCUCAUCCCAAGAGUUCCUUGCCAAUGCCUACGUCUUAGCCGUGCUUCUGUUCCUUGCCCUCCUACUGCAAAGGACAUUUCUGCAAGCAUCCUACUAUGUGGCCAUUGAAACUGGAAUUAACUUGAGAGGAGCAAUACAGACCAAGAUUUACAAUAAAAUUAUGCACCUGUCCACCUCCAACCUGUCCAUGGGAGAAAUGACUGCUGGACAGAUCUGUAAUCUGGUUGCCAUCGACACCAAUCAGCUCAUGUGGUUUUUCUUCUUGUGCCCAAACCUCUGGGCUAUGCCAGUACAGAUCAUUGUGGGUGUGAUUCUCCUCUACUACAUACUCGGAGUCAGUGCCUUAAUUGGAGCAGCUGUCAUCAUUCUACUGGCUCCUGUCCAGUACUUCGUGGCCACCAAGCUGUCUCAGGCCCAGCGGAGCACACUGGAGUAUUCCAAUGAGCGGCUGAAGCAGACCAACGAGAUGCUCCGCGGCAUCAAGCUGCUGAAGCUGUACGCCUGGGAGAACAUCUUCCGCACGCGGGUGGAGACGACCCGCAGGAAGGAGAUGACCAGCCUCAGGGCCUUUGCCAUCUAUACCUCCAUCUCCAUUUUCAUGAACACGGCCAUCCCCAUUGCAGCUGUCCUCAUAACUUUCGUGGGCCAUGUCAGCUUCUUCAAAGAGGCCGACUUCUCGCCCUCCGUGGCCUUUGCCUCCCUCUCCCUCUUCCAUAUCUUGGUCACACCGCUGUUCCUGCUGUCCAGUGUGGUCCGAUCUACCGUCAAAGCUCUAGUGAGGUGAGGGGAGGGUCCGGGCGAGGGCACUGGGCAGGCAGGUCCUGUGUCAGCCUCAGGGCUUGCUCGAGUGAUGGCCAAACCACAGCUGUUUGGUUCCGGAACACACCCCCAUUGCUGGGCCUUGCUGUAGCUGGUCCUGGUUGGUCAGAGGGACAUUGCCUGUAU